GCCAGACUCCUACGGGAGGCAGCAGUGGGGAAUAUUGCACAAUGGGGGAAACCCUGAUGCAGCGACGCCGCGUGGAGGAAGAAGGUCUUCGGAUUGUAAACUCCUGUCCUUGGGGACGAUAAUGACGGUACCCAAGGAGGAAGCACCGGCUAACUACGUGCCAGCAGCCGCGGUAAAACGUAGGGUGCAAGCGUUGUCCGGAAUUACUGGGUGUAAAGGGGGCGCAGACGGCAGCGCAAGCCAGGAGUGAAAGCCCGGGGCCCAACCCCGGGACUGCUCUUGGAACUGCGCGGCUGGAGUGCAGGAGGGGCAGGCGGAAUUCCUGGUGUAGCGGUGAAAUGCGUAGAUAUCAGGAGGAACACCGGUGGCGAAGGCGGCCUGCUGGACUGCGACUGACGUUGAGGCCCGAAAGCGUGGGGAGCAAACAGGAUUAGAUACCCCAGUAAC
rnacentral:rRNA from 1 species